GACCUAUGGUGUAUAACAUACAAUUUCCAGCUAUAAAUAAACCUAGUAUAGUAUAAAGUGAAGUAACAAUUAUAAAAGAUGGUUUUUUGAUUAUUUCAAUGUUUUUAUUAGUUUUUUUUGGUUUUAUGAAAAGGAAAGGGAUGAGAAUUGGGAAGGCUAUAGUUUGUACUAAUGUGGCUAACCAUUUACUAUUUCCACCUUUUUCAAAAUAUAUUCUACCUAAGAGUGUACCUAUAGCUUGAGUAGAUAGAACUAAUAUUGAAUAAAUGAUCAUUUGGAUCCACCAUUUGUAAUGUACCAAAGUUGGACCUUUUAAUUGAGAUUCAUUCUGAGGAAUGAUUUCUUCUCUUUUAACUUCUUCACCUUGUACUAGUGUUAGCUCUAUUGCUGGAGAAUCCCCCAUCUCAUAGACUUCAAUUUUUUGGUAAAAAGAAAGAAA
rnacentral:misc_RNA from 1 species